rnacentral:rRNA from 1 species
AGUUACGAUCAUACCAGCACUAAUGCACCGGAUCCCAUCAGAACUCUGCAGCUAAGCGUGCUUGGGCGAGAGUAGUACUAGGAUGGGUGACCCCCUAGGAAGUCCUCGAGUUGCAACCCC